rnacentral:rRNA from 1 species
ACGAACGCUGGCGGCGCGCCUAACACAUGCAAGUCGAACGAGAGAUGAGGAGCUUGCUCUUCAAAUCGAGUGGCGAACGGGUGAGUAACGCGUGAGGAACCUGCCUCAAAGAGGGGGACAACAGUUGGAAACGACUGCUAAUACCGCAUAAGCCCACAGCUCGGCAUCGAGCAGAGGGAAAAGGAGCAAUCCGCUUUGAGAUGGCCUCGCGUCCGAUUAGCUAGUUGGUGAGGUAACGGCCCACCAAGGCGACGAUCGGUAGCCGGACUGAGAGGUUGAACGGCCACAUUGGGACUGAGACACGGCCCAGACUCCUACGGGAGGCAGCAGUGGGGAAUAUUGCACAAUGGGGGAAACCCUGAUGCAGCGACGCCGCGUGGAGGAAGAAGGUCUUCGGAUUGUAAACUCCUGUUGUUGAGGAAGAUAAUGACGGUACUCAACAAGGAAGUGACGGCUAACUACGUGCCAGCAGCCGCGGUAAAACGUAGGUCACAAGCGUUGUCCGGAAUUACUGGGUGUAAAGGGAGCGCAGGCGGGAGAACAAGUUGGAAGUGAAAUCCAUGGGCUCAACCCAUGAACUGCUUUCAAAACUGUUUUUCUUGAGUAGUGCAGAGGUAGGCGGAAUUCCCGGUGUAGCGGUGGAAUGCGUAGAUAUCGGGAGGAACACCAGUGGCGAAGGCGGCCUACUGGGCACCAACUGACGCUGAGGCUCGAAAGUGUGGGUAGCAAACAGGAUUAGAUACCCUGGUAGUCCACACCGUAAACGAUGAUUACUAGGUGUUGGAGGAUUGACCCCUUCAGUGCCGUAGUUAACACAAUAAGUAAUCCACCUGGGGAGUACGACCGCAAGGUUGAAACUCAAAGGAAUUGACGGGGGCCCGCACAAGCAGUGGAGUAUGUGGUUUAAUUCGACGCAACGCGAAGAACCUUACCAAGUCUUGACAUCCCUUGACGAUGCUGGAAACAGUAUUUCUCUUCGGAGCAAGGAGACAGGUGGUGCAUGGUUGUCGUCAGCUCGUGUCGUGAGAUGUUGGGUUAAGUCCCGCAACGAGCGCAACCCUUAUGGUCAGUUACUACGCAAGAGGACUCUGGCCAGACUGCCGUUGACAAAACGGAGGAAGGUGGGGAUGACGUCAAAUCAUCAUGCCCUUUAUGACUUGGGCUACACACGUACUACAAUGGACAUUAACAGAGGGAAGCAAUACAGCGAUGUGGAGCAAACCCCUAAAAAUGUUCUCAGUUCAGAUUGCAGGCUGCAACCCGCCUGUAUGAAGAUGGAAUUGCUAGUAAUCGCAGAUCAGCAUGCUGCGGUGAAUACGUUCCCGGGCCUUGUACACACCGCCCGUCACACCAUGGGAGUCGGAAAUGCCCGAAGUCUGUGACUCAACCGCAAGGAGAGAGCAGCCGAAGGCAGGUCUGAUAACUGGGGUG